UUGUUUUUGGGGAACAGUCUUCUAAUUUUAUCAAGAAAAUAUUGAACCUCCCCCACUGUACGCAUUCCAGCGAGAGCCCACAUGCAAGAUCAGAAGCUGUUAUCUUGAAAAGCUCUCUCUUUCGAAAUUGCAUGUGCGAGCACCGUUCACAUGUGAGCUUUUCUCUCUUCAAACAUAGCUUACGGCUAGCCCUUCGAGAACCUUCUUAGCUCUCUCAUACACAGCUUUUGGAGGGGUAAAAUAGUUAGGCUAAGUGCAUGCUGCACAGAACAAAAAUUGCAUUCAAGGUUUGAAGACUUAAUUGAUGUGCGUGUAGAAAAUAUACAAAAACAAAAAAAAACGUGGUGAAAAGUUUGCAAAACCAUAAAAGGGAACAUAACCCAAAUAAAAAAACAAUAUAAAAGUGUUGUGGCUGCAAGACGAAACAAAAAAACCAACCCCUGGAUAAGGUACGCCAAGAGAAAAAAAAUGAAAAAGUGACCUUAUUACAUAAUUCCAUGUAUGAACUGUACAUAGGUUUUGAUCCACGUGUGGCAGGAAAUUGCUGACCUGGCCUGACCCUCGGUCUCGGAGGGGGGGUCCGCUCCAGUACCACGAUCAUCCGUCCCUCUUUUUGGUGCCACCGGACCUUGCCUGCAGGCGAAAAAAACGGAUGGACCUGGCGAUCGGGACCGAGUUGUUUAUAUACAUAUAUCUCACGCGCAACUAUAAAACCAUCUUUAUAUAUUAUAUCACCGCGCCUUGUGUAAAGAAUUGUUGGUGCUUGCAUAUGUAGGGUGUGGAAAAAUUAGCUCAGCGGUCAUUGCCCUUGCGGCUGACCAUACACCUAUGCGCACUUAAAUAGACCCACCUGACCGUAUGUCACCUAUUCUCUCCUUCUCUCAGGUUAUUAAAAUUGUUCGAUGCCGACAUUCUAAAAGCCACUUAAGGGAAGAAAAGUAAAUCACAAAAUCUAGAAAAGAAAAUGUAAUGAAAAAUUAUGGAUAGAAAAAAAAAUAGAAAAGAAAAUUGUUCAAUAAUAUUAAAUAUUCCUAGACAUUAACUUAGAAUNUCCAUGUAUGUACUGUACAUAGGUUAUGAUCCACGUGUGGCAGGAAAUUGCUGACCUGGCCUGACCCUCGGUCUCGGAGGGGGGGUCCGCUCCAGUACCACGAUCAUCCGUCCCUCUUUUUGGUGCCACCGGACCUUGCCUGCAGGCGAAAAAAAACGGAUGGACCUGGCGAUCGGGACCGAGUUGUUUAUAUACAUAUAUCUCACGCGCAACUAUAAAACCAUCUUUAUAUAUUAUAUCACCGCGCCUUGUGUAAAGAAUUGUUGGUGCUUGCAUAUGUAGGGUGUGGAAAAAUUAGCUCAGCGGUCAUUGCCCUUGCGGCUGACCAUACACCUAUGCGCACUUAAAUAGACCCACCUGACCGUAUGUCACCUAUUCUCUCCUUCUCUCAGGUUAUUAAAAUUGUUCGAUGCCGACAUUCUAAAAGCCACUUAAGGGAAGAAAAGUGAAUCACAAAAAUCUAGAAAAGAAAACUUAAUGAAAAAUUAUGGAUAGAAGAAAAAAAAAUAGAAAAGAAAAUUGUUCAAUAAUAUUAAAUAUUCCUAGACAUUAACUUAGAAUAGAAGAAGAAAAACAUGAAAUUUAUGCGUAGUUAAUAAUAGAUUCUAAAGGGUGCAUCAUCGGUCUCAUUGUGUCCAUGGAAGGGUAUUGGUAAAAUACCUCUUCAUAACGCUUCUUGUUAUUUUGCAUAUUUCUACAUUUCUUUAACAGUUAGAACGUGAAAUUGGGCCCAACGACACCAACAGCUGUUUAAAAGUCUGUAAGUAGACACACAUAUACACACAUACACUCCGGGUCAGGAGAAUAGCGUCUACACAGUGAGACAUGCAUGCUUAACCAUAUAUAAAAUGAAUUAUUAUUAACUCUAAUCACUACAAUUAUGCCAUUUAAUUCAUUUAAUUAAUUAAUUCUUACUUUAUAUUUUGAUUAUAUUAUUUUUAUUCAUAUUUGAUCAUUCUCUUGAAUUCCUAUGUAUUAAAUUAGUCCCACAUAUAUAAUACACAUGCAGUAAAAAUAGUUUUAAGGGUUAGGGUAGAAAUAAUGGGGGUUACAAGCAACCUGAAGUCAUACAAGUCAAAGUAAAAUUAUAACGAUUUAACAUGAAUUUCUAAUCUGAUUUUUGGGAGGGGUUCCUAAG
rnacentral:lncRNA from 1 species